rnacentral:lncRNA from 1 species
GCGUGGUACAGACAAUGAGUGCAUUUGUCUGUAGGGCGGGAAGCGGUUUCCCAGAGCGCACGAGAUUUGCAUAGGUGAAAGGGAACUCAUCUUUUACAGAAGAUGAAUUAUUCUAAAGGAAUCUUGCCCUAGGUUGUUUAGAGUACGGGUGCAUACAGAUUUCCUGGAUGAAACAGGAGGUGCUGCUAGCAAAAUGCCUUCUUUCUCAUCUCGUGCAAUGUAAAAUAACCGAUACCACACUAAAAGCAAAUAUUUAAAAGUCGGAGGUGUAUCCAUGAGCCCCAGACACCGCCUUAGAGUCGUUUUCAAGCAACCACUUCUCUCGAGUUCACGCAAAGGAAAGGGAGGAAGAUGAGCAGAGUUUUAUUCGAGGAUCGUUGGAAGCAAGGACUUCAUUUCACAAAGCUUCCACACUCAGAAAGAUUGCAGGAGGCAUACUUUGAUCAAGGAACAGGAAAAAAGCAGAGAACAAAUGAAGCAUGUUCUUUUAGUGAGAAGGAGGAAUGCAGAUGAGCCUGAGGAACGGAUGGACCUGAACCAGAAGACAGCACGUCUAAAGCACCUAAUCUCUGUCUACUCGAGUUUUCUGUCUGUUCCUUUAUCCAACUCUCUGUUGUACACAGCAGGACUGGACUCUGGCUCCUGGCUUUAUAGUUCUAAUCACCCGGAGGACCUGACUGGAGACCUGACUGGAGACCUCUCCCUCCCAGUUCCAACUGUCUUAAGUAAGGAAUCCGAGUGGCCCAGCUCAGAUUAGGUGACCAUCACCAAGAAACUUAACAAUACUUCAUAUUCUGGCGAUGGCGGAUAUGGGAAAGAGUGGGCAGGAAGAUUCGGCCAAUGGAAGAGAG